rnacentral:rRNA from 1 species
AUGAAGGCGUUGAAGUGUGUUUGCGUCUACUCCUUGGUGAAGUCGGCAGGGAUCGGCGUGGCGAGGGGCGCUAGCUCGUUGUCGAAGGUUUCCUCCAUCGUCGGGUCAUUGUCGCUCACCUCCGACGAGCUCGCCAACAAGACUGCAAGUAUCCCCCACGCCCGACAGGCCGUCCAACCGGCCACCUACCGGUUCUACUCCGUCGAGAGGCUCCCCCACAUCGCUCUAGAGCUCAUGGUCACGGGGGAGGUGGUGCACGAAGGAGGAUUGCAAGCGGACGUGCGUCCUCCCAAGCCGGCCGCCGCGGAAGAAGCCGCCGCCGUCCGAGCACUCUUCGAAGGCCCCCUCCAGGAGCGCGACCAUCCCGUCCGCCUGGCCGGCCCGCUCCCCGUAUCCUCCCCCACGCUCCCCACCACCGGCGCUGAGACCGAGUCAUCCGGCGACGACGAGGCCGCAUCUGAAUCCGGUGACUCCUCACGCCCCGCGCGCGCCCGCCGCGACCUGUGGUGA